CAGCAGCCGCGGGAAUACGUAGGUGGCAAGCGUUGUCCGGAAUUAUUGGGCGUAAAGGGCUCGCAGGCGGUUUCUUAAGUCUGAUGUGAAAGCCCCCGGCUCAACCGGGGAGGGUCAUUGGAAACUGGGAAACUUGAGUGCAGAAGAGGAGAGUGGAAUUCCACGUGUAGCGGUGAAAUGCGCAGAGAUGUGGAGGAACACCAGUGGCGAAGGCGACUCUCUGGUCUGUAACUGACGCUGAGGAGCGAGAGCGUGGGGAGCGAACAGGAUUAGAUACCCCGGUAGUCCCUGUCUCUUAUAA
rnacentral:rRNA from 1 species